GACGAACGCUGGCGGCGUGCUUAACACAUGCAAGUCGAACGGAAAGGCCCUUCGGGGUACUCGAGUGGCGAACGGGUGAGUAACACGUGGGUGAUCUGCCCUGCACUUUGGGAUAAGCCUGGGAAACUGGGUCUAAUACCGAAUAGGACCACGCGCUUCAUGGUGUGUGGUGGAAAGCUUUUGCGGUGUGGGAUGGGCCCGCGGCCUAUCAGCUUGUUGGUGGGGUAAUGGCCUACCAAGGCGACGACGGGUAGCCGGCCUGAGAGGGUGACCGGCCACACUGGGACUGAGGUACGGCCCAGACUCCUACGGGAGGCAGCAGUGGGGAAUAUUGCACAAUGGGCGCAAGCCUGAUGCAGCGACGCCGCGUGAGGGAUGACGGCCUUCGGGUUGUAAACCUCUUUCAAUAGGGACGAAGCGCAAGUGACGGUACCUAUAGAAGAAGCACCGGCCAACUACGUGCCAGCAGCCGCGGUAAUACGUAGGGUGCGAGCGUUGUCCGGAAUUACUGGGCGUAAAGAGCUCGUAGGUGGUUUGUCGCGUUGUUCGUGAAAACUCACAGCUUAACUGUGGGCGUGCGGGCGAUACGGGCAGACUAGAGUACUGCAGGGGAGACUGGAAUUCCUGGUGUAGCGGUGGAAUGCGCAGAUAUCAGGAGGAACACCGGUGGCGAAGGCGGGUCUCUGGGCAGUAACUGACGCUGAGGAGCGAAAGCGUGGGGAGCGAACAGGAUUAGAUACCCUGGUAGUCCACGCCGUAAACGGUGGGUACUAGGUGUGGGUUCCUUCCUUGGGAUCCGUGCCGUAGCUAACGCAUUAAGUACCCCGCCUGGGGAGUACGGCCGCAAGGCUAAAACUCAAAGGAAUUGACGGGGGCCCGCACAAGCGGCGGAGCAUGUGGAUUAAUUCGAUGCAACGCGAAGAACCUUACCUGGGUUUGACAUGCACAGGACGCCGGCAGAGAUGUCGGUUCCCUUGUGGCCUGUGUGCAGGUGGUGCAUGGCUGUCGUCAGCUCGUGUCGUGAGAUGUUGGGUUAAGUCCCGCAACGAGCGCAACCCUUGUCCUAUGUUGCCAGCGGGUUAUGCCGGGGACUCGUAGGAGACUGCCGGGGUCAACUCGGAGGAAGGUGGGGAUGACGUCAAGUCAUCAUGCCCCUUAUGUCCAGGGCUUCACACAUGCUACAAUGGCCGGUACAAAGGGCUGCGAUGCCGUGAGGUGGAGCGAAUCCUUUCAAAGCCGGUCUCAGUUCGGAUCGGGGUCUGCAACUCGACCCCGUGAAGUCGGAGUCGCUAGUAAUCGCAGAUCAGCAACGCUGCGGUGAAUACGUUCCCGGGCCU
rnacentral:rRNA from 1 species